AAGUUAACGUUAGAUGCGAGAUAACACGUAGUUAAACCGAACGUUAAAAUAACGAUAUAGUGUCUAAAGUUAGACCCGAAGCCUGGUGAUUUUACCAUAGUCAGGAUUAUAAAAGUCCGAACCGGUGAUUGUAGCAAAAAUCUCGGAAGAACUGUGGUAGGUGUAGUGAAAGACAACACUGACUAGGAUA
rnacentral:rRNA from 1 species